rnacentral:rRNA from 1 species
UACCAGCACCCCGAGUGGUCGGGACGAUUAUUGGGCCUAAAGCAUCCGUAGCCGGUUCUACAAGUCUUCCGUUAAAUCCACCUGCUCAACAAUUGGGCUGCGGAGGAUACUAUAGAGCUAGGAGGCGGGAGAGGCAAGCGGUACUUAGUGGGUAGGGGUAAAAUCCGUUGAUCCAUUGAAGACCACCAGUGGCGAAGGCGGCUUGCCAGAACGCACUCGACGGUGAGGGAUGAAAGCUGGGGGAGCAAACCGG